AAUAGAUACCCUGGUAGUCCACGCCGUAAAUGAUGAGUGCUAAGUGUUAGAGGGUUUCCGCCCUUUAGUGCUGCAGCUAGCGCAUUAAGCACUCCGCCUGGGGAGUACGGCCGCAAGGCUGAAACUCAAAGGAAUUGACGGGGGCCCGCACAAGCGGUGGAGCAUGUGGUUUAAUUCGAAGCAACGCGAAGAACCUUACCAGGUCUUGACAUCCUCUGCCAACCCUAGAGAUAGGGCGUUCCCCUUCGGGGGACAGAGUGACUGGUGGUGCAUGGUUGUCGUCAGCUCGUGUCGUGAGAUGUUGGGUUAAGUCCCGCAACGAGCGCAACCCUUGAUCUUAGUUGCCAGCAUUCAGUUGGGCACUCUAAGGUGACUGCCGGUGACAAACCGGAGGAAGGUGGGGAUGACGUCAAAUCAUCAUGCCCCUUAUGACCUGGGCUACACACGUGCUACAAUGGAUGGUACAAAGAGCAGCGAACCCGCGAGGGUAAGCCAAUCUCAUAAAGCCAUUCUCAGUUCGGAUU
rnacentral:rRNA from 1 species